AAGAUUUGGUGCGACAUUCGUCUUCGCUCCGUCGGUCCGCUUUUCUCCUGCGAUCCUGCGACUCCCGUCAUCGCCUCGCCUCCCCACGCGGGCGCACAGCCCGGCUCCAACGAUGCGCGCUCCCCCGCUCGGACGGUAGGCCCAGGUCUCGAUCUCUCUCCCCGGCGCCCUCACCCUUUCCUCCGGCAGUCCUAGGUCUCGAUCCAUCUCUCCUUGCUCUGCCCUUGCGUUUGUUGCGGCCGUGCCGUCGCCGUCGCCCCUGCCAGCGGAAAUUAGGCUGGGGCGCCUAUCUGCUCCACCAUCGUGCCCCGUUCCGCUCUAUCGCACCGCCGCUGCCUCACCCAUGCCAGAUCCACACCCAUUAUUCCCUUCUCUUGGAUGGAGCACUAAGGAGGAGAAAUGACACCACCUCAUGCAAGGUGCUGUCUACAUCGGGCCCUUCAUCGACGGUGAGCACCCAACAGAGGAGCCCUCUGGUUGCAGGUUCGGGGCAGCGCGCGCGCGGAGGCUUCUGUAUGCGGUAACGCGUGCAGAAUCAGCACUACGACUGAGGGCGUCACGCGGAGGAGCAGCCCUAGGGCUAAGGUUGUCCAUGGAGGAACGACCCGCCGUGGCAUCACAUGGAGGAACGUACUGCCAACCGUGAGGAUGAGAUGUAGGUUCUGGUAUGGACUUUUCCCCUUCUGUUGGCUGGUGGAUUUUGGAGAGCGUUAAAGAGGAGAUUGGAGUUGCACGGAGGUUCCGUGAUGGCAUCCAGAACUGUAGUAGUUGCGGUUCUCUGCUUGCAGCCGGAACAAAGAACUUCAGGGAUGAAUGCUUCAUCACGGAGGAGGGUUUGGGCAUGAUUUAAUUUUUCUUUUCUCGAAUAGCGUAGAGUUGUGUAUCAUUUUCAUUAAGAUAGAAUAAAAGUUACAAGGGUGAGAGGCACAACACACUCCAACUCACACACCCUAGACACUAAGAUAGAGACUUGCCACCCAAAGAUCAAGAAUGACCAAAAGUCUUUGAGCAUUAAGCUUCAGCAUGCAGCGACCUAAUAACAAGCUCCUGGAGUUUGGAAGCCCUAGCCGAGCACUGCGUGAUUUAAUUUUAAAGUGGGAGAUUGGGAGGGGCUUUCACUUUUCUUGUUUCUCACUGCUGCAUUAGUACAAAAGCAGCUCAGUUGUACCAAUGGCAUCAUUGAUCUGUCUAGGAUGUUCAAGAAAAAGCAGUGUUUGCUCAUGACUUUUUUUGAACGCAAAUUAGCAGGUGUUCUUCCAUUUGAUAUAGUAGAAUCAUUUCAGUAUCUACAUAAUAGGAGACAGCAUUAUAGCUGCCAAAUUAGUUCAAAGUAAAAAAAAGAAACAUAUAUUAUUUAAACGGGUCUUGGCCGUUCGGCCUGUACAGAAGACGUUCUGAUUACUCUUUAUUUGAGAUCGGCAUGUGUUGAACGACAUGAUGUCCUAUUUGCUCAUGAUUUGUGGUCUUGUGGAUGCCCACAGGCACAAAACAUUUGUGUUGACUUAUAGCUGAUCCAACUUAUACUGACCUGAUAAAUGGAGACACUAUAAACUGUUUUGUAUGUCCUUCAUUUUGAUUUAUGUGACAGGUGUGCUCUUGGUAAAACUUCACUGCAGUUAAGCUUACAAGUUACAUGUCUGUCAACAUCUUUUUCUGAUGAUAAUCCUGAAGGUUUGAAGCACGUAAUGAGUACCAACAUCACAAAGCCGUGCAUCUAUUCCAGCUUCCUACUAUGAAGUGAUCAAGUCAUAUCAAGGAACGAUGAGUACAUGCUGCAAUAGAAGAAACAUAAUUUCAGACCGCAACAAGUCAUAGUAGGAAGUUUAGUUUACCUCUCCAUGAGCUGAUCCUUGGUAGGUGUUGGUGGCAGUUGAUCGAUUUGUGGGGUUGCCCAGCCGAUCUGAUUCUUGGAGAAUUUUUUGAACCAGUUCAUGAAGGCGACCACCAUGCUGUCUGACGAUGUGGGCACAUAGCAAGCUUUCUGCCAGUUCUCAAGCCCUACCAUGGCAAAUUUACGCUCCUAACAAAAAGGAAUUCAGCAGAUAUGAGUUACAAAAACCUGGGUCACUAAGAUUUGAGUAUGAGAUAGAUCAAUCAGAGUAUAAUUUGUAUG